CCCGGAGCAAACCUGGCCGGACUUCCCAGAGGAACUGCCGGAUCUACCCCCCAGCCUGGGCUGCAAGGAGCCCAUGCUGUUGGACUUCCCGGGAGCGGACGCCACGGACCAGGUUACGUGCCCAAAUCUUUUUAAUCCUGUCAAAAGUGAAGUUGGUGAAUGGAGGCACUGGGCUGAGAAGAUAUCUGUGGUGUCUGGCUCUGGCUAACACUGAAAGGGAAAGGGACACGACCCUAUGAAGAGACACAUCUCUCAGCAUUAGAAAAAUUAGAGAAUACAUGCUUUGAAAUGAAG